CGCACUGCGAAGCUCAGAAGAGUGUUUUCACAGCCAGAGUGGCUCCUGCGGGUCCCACCGCUGCAUGCAGACAGAGAACACGGUGCCUCCCCAAAGAGGAGCGUGUCCUCAGCCAUGCUGCUCAAACACCUCAGUGAGGACAUGGCACAGAGGAGCCCAACGCGUUCAGUUGCAUUCAGGCCCCUCAGCAUGGCUCUGGGGGAAGGAGGAGACGUGGCUGUGCUGCAGUGCGAGCAGUGCCCGAAGAUUUAGGUUAUGGGAAUGUUGGUUCCAGAGGCAGUGUGAUUCAUGCUGAAACCAUCCGGUGCCAUCUGAUGCACACGUCCACCCAAAGGUAGAGGCACUGCUGUGCGCUGCGAGCUGCUCCACUCUGAGUUCUCAUUGCAGAACAACUACAACGGCAGAGAACAAGAAAUGGCUGCAUUCUGCCAAAGAGGAUGACUUGCUGUUUAUGGAAAGCACUCGAGUGCAGGAGAGAUCGUGCUACAGUUAAACAGACAAUGCUUAAAGGGCCAUUGCCCACGCUUGGUUUAACAGAGCCUUUCUCACUGAUUUCCAAGAAGGAAGGUGUUCUGCAUCUCUGCUGCUGGGCACCACAUCACAAAUGGAUGCUGGAAGGCAAACUAGUGCUACAUUCAGUGGGAUGGAGAAGAUGACUCUGCACUUCAGUUUUUGUGAGAACCGAGAAACUCACUUUUGGUGUAAAUGCGGCACACGUCCCCUUGGUAGCCCAGCACCAUAGCACAUGCAAGAACAUGCUCCUUGUACAUGGAACAGUGGCUGGCAGGUUACUGACUGAGCUGAGACAUCCAGCAGUGGCACAGCCAAGCAAUGUGACCACUGUGUGCUUGGGAGAUCUCUACUGCUCCUGGAGAGCAGUGGGGGUGGUACUGAAACUUGCUUGCAGGUGAGAGAUCAGUUGGGUUAGGAAGCAGCUGCUCCCAUCUGCUCAUCCACAACCUGCCCCGGUCACCAGGCGGGCUGCUGGCCUUCACCACAUCCCUCUUCAUGUCCAACCACACGCCUCGUGGCCGCAGAGCUUCCACAGCUCUCAGUGAGACACUGCAUAAGCAUGAAGUGUUGAGGGUGAGCACUGCAGAGCAUUGAGUUCCG
ensembl:lncRNA